GGGGAUUUGGCUCAAUGGUAGAGCGCUUGCCUAGGAAGCGCAAGGUCCUGGGUUCGGUCCCCAGCCCCCCCA
rnacentral:tRNA from 1 species